rnacentral:sRNA from 1 species
GAUAUCAGGGGAAAAAGAUCAAAAAGUCGUUCGUGCUUGCACGAUAAGACUUUUGAACUUGGGACCCGCCAAACAUGAGAAAGUAGCGAUUUACGCAGUAAAUCAGCGGAUUUCGAAUGUUUGAGAAUUGUGGGAGCUGCUUUGCAGCGGAGCAAUUCGUGGAUAUC